UACGUAGGCAGCGCGCGUUGUUCGGAACUACUGGGCGUAAAGAGUGUGUAGGCGGUGCUCCAAGUCUGUCGUGAAAUCUCCCGGCUCAACUGGGAGGGUGCGGCGGAAACUAGAGUGCUCGAGUGUGGGAGAGGUAAGCGGAAUUCCUGGUGUAGAGGUGAAAUGCGUAGAUAUCAGGAGGAACACCUGCGGUGUAGACAGCUUUCUGGACCACUUCUGACGCUGAGACACGAAAGCGUGGGUAGCAAACAGG
rnacentral:rRNA from 1 species